AAAUUGAAUAGUCGCUGGUAAAUUCCGAAAGGAACUACGAGAGGAAAGUCCGGACUCCAUAGAGCAAAGAUGCUAGAUAACGUCUAGUGAGGGUGACCUUAAGGAAAGUGCAACAGAAAAUAACCGCCUUUUAAAGGUAAGGGUGAAAAGGUGUGGUAAGAGCUCACCGCCAUUAUAGUGAUAUAAUGGGUCAGUGUAAACCCCAUCUGGAGCAACACCUUAGAGAGAAGACAGCUAAGAGCUCUUAAAAGCUGUUUCUUAAAAUCUCUUUGAGUGGCUUGAAAUAGAUAGCAAUAUCUAUUCUAGAUAAAUGACUAUUUUAAAAGACAGAAUCCGGCUUACAGAUUUGCUCUA
rnacentral:RNase_P_RNA from 1 species